rnacentral:rRNA from 1 species
UACGAAGGGGGCUAGCGUUGUUCGGAAUUACUGGGCGUAAAGCGCACGUAGGCGGCUUUGUAAGUUAGAGGUGAAAGCCCGGGGCUCAACUCCGGAAUUGCCUUUAAGACUGCAUCGCUAGAAUUGUGGAGAGGUAAGUGGAAUUCCGAGUGUAGAGGUGAAAUUCGUAGAUAUUCGGAAGAACACCAGUGGCGAAGGCGGCUCACUGGACGACUGUUGACGCUGAGGUACGAAAGCGUGGGGAGCAAACAGG